AUUGAACGCUGGCGGAAUGCUUUACACAUGCAAGUCGAACGGCAGCACGGGGGCAGCCCUGGUGGCGAGUGGCGAACGGGUGAGUAAUACAUCGGAACGUGCCCGGUCGUGGGGGAUAACGUAGCGAAAGUUACGCUAAUACCGCAUACGAUCUGAGGAUGAAAGCGGGGGACCUUCGGGCCUCGCGCGAUCGGAGCGGCCGAUGUCAGAUUAGGUAGUUGGUGGGGUAAAGGCCUACCAAGCCGACGAUCUGUAGCUGGUCUGAGAGGACGACCAGCCACACUGGGACUGAGACACGGCCCAGACUCCUACGGGAGGCAGCAGUGGGGAAUUUUGGACAAUGGGCGCAAGCCUGAUCCAGCCAUACCGCGUGCAGGACGAAGGCCUUCGGGUUGUAAACUGCUUUUGUACGGAACGAAAAGGCUCUGGCUAAUACCUGGGGCUCAUGACGGUACCGAAAGAAUAAGCACCGGCUAACUACGUG
rnacentral:rRNA from 1 species